rnacentral:lncRNA from 1 species
GAAUGUCGGAGAGUCGAUCUAAAUCUACUUUCAGAAGUCUGACAGUAAGCUCAAAUUUGGAUAGCUGCAUAUCGACAAAGGAUAGUCCGGUAUUAUAAUGCAAGAGUCAAAUCGAAGAUCUUCCGGUUAGGAGACUUGAUCCUAAGGAAAGCAGAAAUCUCAAAUCUCUGGAUCAAAAAAAGCUAUCUCCGAAUUGGAAAGGACCUUACAGGAUAGCCAAAACACUCA